rnacentral:rRNA from 1 species
ACAAGCGGUGGAUGAUGUGGUUUAAUUCGAUGCAACGCGAAAACCUUACCCACCUUUGACAUGUACGGAACCCUUUAGAGAUAGAGGGGUGCUCGAAAGAGAGCCGUAACACAGGUGCUGCAUGGCUGUCGUCAGCUCGUGUCGUGAGAUGUUGGGUUAAGUCCCGCAACGAGCGCAACCCUUGUCAUUAGUUGCUACAUUCAGUUGGGCACUCUAAUGAGACUGCCGGUGACAAGCCGGAGGAAGGUGGGGAUGACGUCAAGUCCUCAUGGCCCUUAUAGGUGGGGCUACACACGUCAUACAAUGGCUGGUACAAAGGGUUGCCAACCCGCGAGGGGGAGCCAAUCCCAUAAAGCCAGUCGUAGUCCGGAUCGUAGUCUGCAACUCGACUACGUGAAGUCGGAAUCGCUAGUAAUCGUGGAUCAGAAUGUCACGGUGAAUACGUUCCCGGGUCUU